AUGUGAGCUGCUUAGCAUACUGUGGCACGUGGUAAGCAUGGAAUUAACUCUGUGAUCAUUCCAAGACUUCCAUUGUUUCUCUACCAUCUGUUUCAUUUUUUUUUUUUUUGACAGAGUGGACAGAGAGAGAGAGAGAGAGAGAAAGGUCUUCCUUUUGCCAUUGGUUCACCCUCCAGUGGCCGCCACGGCUGGUGCACUGCAGCCAGCACACCGCGCUGAUCCGAUGGCAGGAGCCAGGUGCUUCUCCUGGUCUCCCAUAGGGCGCAGGGCCCAAGCACUUGGGCCAUCCUCCACUGCACUCCCAGGCCACAGCAGAGAGCUGGCCUGGAAGAGGGGCGACCAGGACAGAAUCAGGCGCCCCGACCGGGACUAGAACCCGGUGUGCUGGCGCCGCUAGGCGGAGGAUUAGCCUAUUGAGCCGCGGCACCGGCCCUGUUUCAUUUCUAUUACUCCUUAUUUUCCCACACUCUUCUCACAAUUUUCAUCAACACAAAUAAUUUCCACUCACAUUAACAACAACAACAAAAAACCACUCCUGCUGAAGAAUCCUGUUACAUGAGAAUUUGGAAUAAGGAGGAUUCUCAAUUAGGGGGAGGAAUAGCUACAUAGGACACUAGCUGUUACAGCUAUGGAUAACAGUGGGAAUUCAGUGAACCACAUAUGUGCUUUGACCUCCUGGAAGUGGGGUUGCUGUGGGUUGAGGUAAGUGGCGGAGCUCUCCUGAAGGCAGUGGGAAUUGAGUUGGAGCUCACUGUUGCAGAGCAGAAAUAAUCCAGCUCCGUUUUGGAGCCUGAUGAGAUAAGGACAACAUGGCAAAGGAGGCUGUGUCAUCUUCUAAGCUGGCCUCUGGGCCCUGGCAGAGAAGGACGCUGUCCUGGGGAACAGGUUCCCUGGCAGCAAUCACACUCUGUUUAGAAUAUGAGUUGCUCGAUGCUAAUGAGUCACGUUUCGUCAUUUCCGGGAGGUGAUGCUGGAGAAGACACUGUUGUUGCAUGAAACCUUUUUAGAAAAACUGUUUAUUUGGUGGAGUCUUUAGGUUAGCUUUUGGACCAAAAUAAAUUUUUGAGGAGUGAUUCACUUCCAACCUACAUGGCAUGCACAGACGCAGCUAAUGUGAAAUGCUGUUGAUGCGUUUUUUUUCUUUCUGUUUUAAGAGCCAGUAUGGAGUUUUGGCUGAAGUUACAGGAUUUCUUGAUUUCCAUGAAGGUGAUGCUGCAGAGCUGUGCCCGUGGGAAAGGAUGCUGACCUGACUCGGAGUGCACAAUCAUGCCUGAAGGGCUCUUCUAAGUUCUAAAGAAAAAGGAGCAGCAAUGAAGACCCAGGGAGAUGUGAAGACGCGGGGAGAAGGCAGACACCUCCAAGCCAACAAGAGAGCCUCAGAAGACACCAACUUGCCUGUACUUGAUAUGGACUUCAGCCUCCAGAACCGUGAGGAAAUAGGUCUGCUGUUGACCAUCCAAUUUGUGGUACUUCACUAUGGUAGCCCGAGCAGAUAGUGUAGGCAGCUUUGUUCCAACUUGGGGGCCAGAGAAGAGCUGGCAGCUCCAGCCUACAGCAGAUGUCCUGUCUUCAUCGGGUGGCAGUUAGGAUUUCUUCAACUCAUGUGGCUCCAGAGAGACCUCUAGUGCCUGGUCACCUCUGCCUUGGUUUCCUAGUUGUGAAUGAUUCCUUCCCCAGAAACCCUUCACAAUGUCAGAAAGAAGAGUCCUCUUCCGGGUGACUUCAGGGGCCACAUGGCAGAGUACCGUGAGACCUGGGUACUUGAGCUCCAUCAUGUCCCCUCUCUCUGGCAUUGUGAUACCUAUAGUUUUGUGACCUUGGCAGAAGACUGUGGCAUAACUAGUUUUGGAAGGUCAGGUGAUCUGAGUUCUUGGUCCAGCAUUGUAAAUAAUUAGAAAUUUUACACUGGGAAAGUCACUAUUUUUCUCUAGCUGUGAAAUGAAAUGUGGUUGUAUUCCAGAAUUCUGUAAUUGUGUGAAUCAUUAGUAGACAUGGGUUACCUAGAUGACUUAAAAUAGGAAUCUGAGAAAUACCACCAUAGACAGCUGAAGCUCAAAUUCUACUCGUCCUGGGAAGUGCAGGACAUCAUAGCUUCCACUGCCAUGUUGCUUCUUUUGCUACAUUUCAUGUAGCUACUCAUUCAUUUUAGAUAAAAGGAAAGAUUUCACAAUAACUUCUUCUUGGAAAGGAUCGAAGUUCAGUGUAGGAAAUAAAGAUUGUCUAUUAAUUUGCCUUCUACUUUUAACCACACUUCAUUUCAGAGAAUAAUAUUUUCCCUUAUGUUUGAGUGGGGUCAUAGAAACAGAAUGUAGCAAUGAAAACAUGCUUCUCAAAAACCCACAUAGCGCUAAUGAGCACCUACCCUGGAGGGCAUGCCCAAGUUCAAAAUGUGGAACUCGGAGAAUGCAAAAUUUUUCAUCUGCUGUUCAUUAUUGCUGUAUGUAUUCAGUUUCCUAAAGUCAGAUGGUUUCUGUUAGGACACUGAAUUUUCAUGUCCAGUAAACAUUUGUAUGCACACCUCUCAAAUGUGUUGAGUAAACAGAAUGAAUUCAACUUCCUGUGAGUUAAACUCAUUUUGAAUGUGAACAUGCUUGAGAAACAGCAAAAAACUACCACCAAGAGAAAGUUCUGAGGUUCGGUUUGUACUCACCUUCUUUAGGACUUACUUUCUCAAAGAUGAGACCUGAAAGUACUGGGUCUGAAUAUAAAAUGAUAGAGUGCGUGCUAGGUAAGACUUGCAUUAGCUCUAGUCUGCUUGCUAAUUGGAAUGUGAAAAUAGCUUUGGAAUGAAAUCCAACCAAAUUUUAUUAGUUUGGCAGACCAUUGAAGCCUGGGGAAAAGUGAAAAAAAUAUGCAGUUUUUGACAUCUAAAAUAUUUUACCUCUAGGUCAUGAAUUUCUUUGGCAAAUUUAUAUUUCUUGGAUGAGUUACACAUUAUGAAUUUAGGGGUUCUCAACAUAUUUGAAUAUAAUUUGUAGUUGAAUAUACUGUAUGUGUUUAUUCUAACUCUUCAAAUCUUUUUUUUUUGUCUAUUAUUAAAUGAGUCUCAAGAUUUUAAGGAAGAGUUUCAGAGAAAGCCAUGAUUUUCAGAGAGUGAUAGAAUAAUUUUUAAACUAAAAAUGUUAAGUAAUAGAAUAGUGUAAUUAGGGCCAAAUUCCAAGAGCAGGGAAGUGAGGGAGAAUGAGCUGUUUACUAUAGCAACAAUAGUGAAAAUGGAGAAUGAAAAGCUUUCCAGAGGCCUCAAGUACCCUUGAGAGCAGUGUGGUCAGCAGGGGUUUUGUCUCAAAAAGAAAGUUUCCUUUGAUCAUCAGGUACUAAAUUGAACCUCUUAGUGGGAGCCCCAAAUAGUAUGAUAAACUGAUAGACUGCAACCUUUGUGCUUGUGCAUGGGGCAGGUGCAUGUGAGGGGAAGGGCUUGGGAGGAUGUACCCAUAGGCAAUGCAUUUCGCAUUUACAGUGAAAAUGUGCUUAUUUGAAUGACAGACUUAUUGGGGAGAGGUGAUUGGAGGAGAUAGUGAUUUUUUUCUUGGGCAAUUGAGGAAGAUUCAUGGGGAAGUGUCAUUGUUUCAGGUCCUUAAAGAAUCUGUAGUAGUUGAUAAAUACAGGAAAAUUAACCACAAUUAACAAUGACAGAAACUAAAGUUUGAGUUUGUUAGGUAUAGUCUCAAGCUCUUUAAAAUGUAUUCUCUUAAACAUUAAGGACGAGUAAUUAUUGUGUCCAUUUUAAAGGUGAGGUAGAUGUAAUAAUACCAAUCUGACAGAAGGGUGUUUGAACUCCAACGUGUUGAUUGAUGUAACUGUGCUUCUUCCAAGAGAAGAGAAAUCUAAAAGGAUGAGACAUUGAAAGAAGUGUUUUAUGAGAGAAAAUGAAAUGUUUUGUGUGGCUUAAGUACCAGAUGUUUGGGUCACUGAAGUGGGAGAAAGAGCUAGAAACAAGGUUGAGGCCAGAUGGCAAAGCCUUGACUAUCACUCUAAACACUUUUCUCCUAUCUGAGCAGUUUUGCAAUGGGGGUAAUGCAACUUGCAACUUAAUUACAUAAUUACAUGAAAGUGCACUGAUGAGGCAUGGUUAGUAGGAGUGGACAAAGGCAGAUAUGGGAGACAUUACAGAAAGUAGAACUGGCUGUAACUAUGUGAGGUGGGAGAGAGAGUACCAGAAUUUCCACGGUUUGGCAUAUAGUUGUACUAUUGACAUAAGGCGUACAAGGGCAAGAAUCUGGUAUGAAAAUGAUAUGUUGGAUUAGAAGUGUAUUGAGUUUGGGACAAUUAUCCAGAUAGAGCUGUCCAGUGAGAAUUAGGAAAAUCCAAGUGUAGGACAGGGUAAGAGAAUAUGGCAGAUCCAUUACAAACGUUAAGAGUUGAGGCUGGGGAACAGCAUGGAAUAUAUUAU